AUUGAACGCUGGCGGCGUGCUUAACACAUGCAAGUCGAUCGGUAACGCGGGGGCAACCCUGGCGACGAGAGGCGGACGGGUGAGGAACGCUUGGGAAUCUGCCUAUCAGCGGGGGACAACACGGGGAAACUCGUGCUAAUACCGCAUACGCUCUACGGAGGAAAGCCGGGGACCGCAAGGCCUGGCACUGAUAGAUGAGCCCAAGCCGGAUUAGCUAGUUGGCGGGGUAACGGCCCACCAAGGCGACGAUCCGUAGCUGGUCUGAGAGGACGAUCAGCCACACUGGAGCUGAGAAACGGUCCAGACUCCUACGGGAGGCAGCAGUGGGGAAUAUUGGACAAUGGGGGAAACCCUGAUCCAGCGACGCCGCGUGGGUGAAGAAGGCCUGCGGGUUGUAAAGCCCUUUCGGUAGGGACGAAAGCUCUCGACCUAACACGUCGGGAGGUUGACUUAACCUACAAAAGAAGCACCGGCUAACUCUGUGCCAGCCGCCGCCAUAAGAC
rnacentral:rRNA from 1 species